AUACGGAGGGUGCAAGCGUUACUCGGAAUCACUGGGCGUAAAGCGCGCGCAGGCGGUCUUUUAAGUUGGAUGUGAAAGCCUCGGCUCAACCGUAGAACUGCAUCCAAAACUAUUAGACUAGAGUGUGGGAGAGGAAGAUGGAAUUAGUUGUGUAGGGGUAAAAUCCGUAGAGAUAACUAGGAAUACCAAAAGCGAAGGCAAUCUUCUGGAACACUACUGACGCUGAGGCGCGAAAGCGUGGGGAGCAAACAGGAUUAGAAACCCCGGUAGUCC
rnacentral:rRNA from 1 species